ACGAACGCUGGCGGCGUGCCUAAUACAUGCAAGUCGAGCGAACAGAAGGGAGCUUGCUCCCGGAUGUUAGCGGCGGACGGGUGAGUAACACGUGGGUAACCUGCCUGUAAGACUGGGAUAACUCCGGGAAACCGGAGCUAAUACCGGAUAGUUCCUUGAACCGCAUGGUUCAAGGAUGAAAGACGGUUUCGGCUGUCACUUACAGAUGGACCCGCGGCGCAUUAGCUAGUUGGUGGGGUAAUGGCUCACCAAGGCGACGAUGCGUAGCCGACCUGAGAGGGUGAUCGGCCACACUGGGACUGAGACACGGCCCAGACUCCUACGGGAGGCAGCAGUAGGGAAUCUUCCGCAAUGGACGAAAGUCUGACGGAGCAACGCCGCGUGAGUGAUGAAGGUUUUCGGAUCGUAAAGCUCUGUUGUUAGGGAAGAACAAGUGCGAGAGUAACUGCUCGCACCUUGACGGUACCUAACCAGAA
rnacentral:rRNA from 1 species